UACGUAGGGGGCAAGCGUUGUCCGGAAUCAUUGGGCGUAAAGCGCACGUAGGCGGCCCGGUAAGUCCGUUGUGAAAGUCAGAGGCUCAACCUCUGGAGGCCAAUGGAUACUGCCGGGCUAGAGUCCGGAAGAGGCGAGUGGAAUUCCUGGUGUAGCGGUGGAAUGCGCAGAUAUCAGGAGGAACACCGGUGGCGAAGGCGGUUCUCUGGGACGGUACUGACGCUGAGACGCGAAAGCGUGGGGGAGCGAACAGG
rnacentral:rRNA from 1 species